ACAAUUCUAUGAAACUCUCAGCUCUUAGGGAGCUAUACACAAUGUAAACCUAGCACCAACUUUCCUGUGCAGGGUUUCACCAAAAUUCUUGCCAAUAAAUAGCAAAUGCAAGUGCACUACAUGUUUAGGAAUACUCCUACCUGCAGAAUCACCUGAUUUUCAGAUGAAGUAGCAAUCUUACCCUGAACUCCCACAAAGAAAUGACAGGACAAUAAACUGUUUGCUAAGCAUGACAGUACCAGAUCUAACAGAUAUGGGCAACGUCAGAGUCUGAAACCCUACUGUAAAGGUCUUUUCGUUGUGAUCUCACAAUGUUUCUGCUCUGUAACUAGUCCCAGUCACAGAAUAAGAACUGAGUAGGACAAAAGCAGAGAUUUUUUCUCCUUUAUCCCACUGCUAAAUAGUACCAUUCUGCAGUAGUGGUUUGAGGGAGCUUUGUUUUUUAGCUCAUUAAAGCCUUAAGAAAAAUUAAGUUAAUUCUUCAAAAAAAAUAUAUCUAUUAGAAAACUGUUUGCAAUAGACAACCUAGGACAUUAGUUACAGAUACUGUACAACUUUCACUUCUUUAAUAUUGACUUUAGGAAAGACGUUGACAGUGUGUUUUGAACAUGUACUCAAAAAUAGGAAAUAAUACUUGGCAAUAGCUAUAAAGAUGUGGAUUCCCAAAAGCACUUUAGUACACAAGAAGUCAACCAACAAGGGCCAGUGAAGCCAUUUCAGGAUGCAUCACAUUUGAACUAUUCAAGUGACCUAAAGCAUCAAAGCAGAGUGGGAGAGAAGUUUUUCCACCAAAGGCAAGAUAAAUCCUCUCGCCUCUAACUUCUGAAGGCUUCGACUUAUGACUCACAGUGUCCGAUGUGAACUGAAGCUCUCAGCCCCAGAUCCGACCCGACACACGCUAAAAUCAAUGGGAGCCUUUCCGCUGACUCUGAUGGAAGGAGGGUCACACCCUGCACAGACGUAAGCCACGCUCCUUAACAAAACCACCCUCAGCUUUUGGAUGGCAGAAAGCGCGGCGGGUCUCAGAAUGGUGGGGAUGCCUGAGGUCAGGGAUUGUCUGCAAUGAUAAACCAGUGCAGGCAAAACCAACAGAGUGAGUGGCCAGCACACCUGUCUGCACCACACCCUGCGCUAGCACUAUCAGCCCAGACAAAACAGAGUCCAGAGCAAAUAUUUGUCAAAAACGUAAUGAGAGCGGAUCUUGGCAGACACCAAAAUCUGGCCCUGAGUGGAAAAUGUAAAAUAAUUAGUCCAUCUUAAAAUAAAGUCUUCAAAUAAAAUAAACACAGGCCUGGAGAAAUGAGCUCAGUGCAGCUCAGAAGCUAGAGAACACUUGCAUUAGGCUUUGCAGAGAGGCUUUAUGCUUGUUGAACAUGCAGGUCAACACAAGACUUCUGAAAGAAGGGGUGCAGGAGUAUGGACAGUGUCAGACUGCAUUGUACGUUAGCAGAACACCAAUAAACUGUAUCCUGCC
rnacentral:lncRNA from 7 species